GCAGCCAGUGGUUGGCAAGGGUGGGGCUGGUCGCUGGCACCAGGGUGCUGCAGGUACCGCAGCUGCUGUCAGUGCUUGGAGGCGCAGGCAGCUGCAGGGUUUUGCUGGUGCACGGGGGCUUCGGGGCACAGACGGACAGGGUCCCGGCUGAGGCUGCUGGUGGGGACGAUGGCAGGUCACCGACAGCUCGUCCUCCCCCUUCAAGGCCUGCUGCUCUGCAUCUUGGCUCUGCACUUCAGCUCCUGGGGCCCUCUUGCCACAGCAGAGCAUGAAGUGGCCGCCAACGCCUCCUCGGUGGCCGCCAACGCCUCCUCGGUG